CCCUUAGAUGUUCUGGGCCGCACGCGUGCUACACUGAGUAAAUCAAUGGGUAAGGGAACACGAAAGUGCAACCUAAUCUUGAAAUUUGCUCGUGAUGGGGAUCGACGGUUGCAAUUUUCCGUCGUGAACGAGGAAUACCUUGUAGGCGCGUGUCAUCAUCACGCGCCGAAUACGUCCCUGCCCUUUGUACACACCGCCCGCCGCUCCUACCGAUUGAGUGAUCCGGUGAGGCUCUGGGACCUGGACGGAAAGAGCGUUUCGCUUGUUCUGUUUGGGAAACUUGGUCGAACCUUAUCAUUUAGAGGAAGGAGAAGUCGUAACA
rnacentral:rRNA from 1 species